ensembl:lncRNA
AAAACCGGAGCAAUAAACACAUUUAUUAACUUGUAUGCACAGACAUUUUUAUUCAAUAUACGAACCAAUUUAACUGUAACCUUAAAGAUUUUAUAAAAUAUGUCCAAGCUAGAGUAGCUGAAUCUCACCACACUCAUCGUCCUCCUUCAGCUUGAUGCUGCUUCCUCCUGCUCCAUAAAACAAAACUAAGUUAGUCACACCACAAAACAAAAGGACCAAAGCAAGCAAGUUCAGUUUCUUUGUUUAUUUAUUCUCAGGUCGACGAAUUGAGACCUAGCUAGAGUAACUCAAGUACCCCAACAUGAAAAUACUGGCUGUGAUGUAAUAGCAAUCUGGGGGGUAGGUCUCAGAUGGCCUUGGGGAGUCUGCUUUUUUCUCGAUGCAGUCAAAGUUGUACUUCAUUGAUUAAAGCGUGAAAGGGAACAGCUUCUAAAUUCUAAAUUGUCUGAUUAGUGGCUCUCACCCAGUCAGACACUUAUCUCCACGUGUAAUGUCAGUACUGACCGUCCAAUGGAGUAAUACAUGUUCAGAAUGAUUAGCAUGAGCCAUGACGAUGUGCCUCUUCCUAACAUUCUCAUCCUUUCAAGCAAGUAUCAGGAACUCUUUGGGUGUCUUUCCUUUGUGGAGUCGAUGAUAAGCCACACCUAAGGGGCAGGAGUCGACAGAAGGCCAUUCACAACCACUUGAUUUAACAUUUCAGUUCCUCUGAUCUUCUGAGCAUUGGAGAUGAGUGGGGGUGGGGGUUGCCUUUCCAUCAUUGCCACUGCAGCUCUGAAGGAUCAUAUUUUAAUAUAGAAAAUAAUUACAUUGUGAAACAGCCAGUACAUUAGCACCACUUUUUGCAAGCUUGCUCCUGCUACAGUUUCUCGAUGAUGGAGAUAAUUACCUGCAGGCAAGCUGAUGGAUGUACAACUACAUCUAUGUAUGAAAACGUGUGGUUCAGUAGAUUAGUGUGUGUGUGGAAACUGCAUGCCUCCCUGAACGCGCGUGUGUGUGUCUGUGUGUUUUGUAGAUGCGGUGCUGUCAGUGUCAUUUAAAUAUAUCUUAGAGGCAGAGGCAUUUCCUGCAUGUUUUUGUGGUUUGGUCAAACAUUUGGUCCUUUUGGCCCAUUUCCCACAAUGUGGCUAUCCGUGGACAGACGGGGAAAAUGACGUCAAUGCGUCUCCCCUGGCUGAUAAGUAAAUCUUUCUUCAAUCCAAAACACAUUUAGCGCUCGGCUAGAGUCUUAUGUGAAUGCUCUGUUAAAUGAAUUAGUGGAAACAGUGGUAUUAUGUUGACAUUAUUUUUCUUACAUUAUUGCCAAGAUUCUUCUCUGACGUAUUGAGAGAAACCAAUUAUAUUUACUCAAAAUUGGCCCAAUUGAUCCAUAGUUACAUUUUCUUGCCACUGGGACUAGUAUUUGGUUUUAGGCAAUUUGGAUUGUGUAAUGUAUACAACCACUCGACGAUUCAAUCAUUUUGACUUCCGCGUUGACUUUAGUGAUUUUGCUGAAUCAAAUAUUUGAACCCAUCACAUAUUAUUGUAGCAGAUAACCACAUAUAACCAUACAUGUGAGAUGUAGUGGCUGAAAUAUGCUGUUGUCCCUAGUUUGAGUUAUCAUUUUAGUUUUGUUGGAAGAUUGUCACUUUUCUUUGUUAAUUAGAUAGUUGACAUUGCUUAAAUUUCAUGAACUGCUUCCAUCUAGCAAAUUGAACUAAAAAAAAAAGCGUGAUACAUAUUUAAAAACUUAUUGCAAAGAUACUUGGAGAGAGGUUUCGUGGGAAUGCCUUGUGGGAAAUCCAAUACUUCUUCACUAGCAGUCUCUUGGGUGAACAUACACAUGGAAUAAGAUGUAAGCCUUCCAUUAGCUUUUUGCAUGCUGAUGGUAGAAACCAAUGCUUGAGUCGCAGCAGUGCCAUCUGUUUCCCAGGUUUCUUGAAUAACAAAUCUGACAUGGAUUUUUAAGCCUGUUUUUACUUCUAUUGGCAUGAAUUCCAGCAAAUCCCAUGUCUAGUAACAUGGGUCACAAAAACGUGCAAAAUGCUCAUAGAAUCCCACUUCAUUCACCUCAGAGCCAUCAGGUGAUUUCAUUCCUGAAAGCUGAUCUUAAUAAUAUUUAACAUGUGACUAUCAAUGACAGUUAUAUUCCUGUUUGCUUACCAAUAAUCAUACCCUACUGUAUUUCACCAUUUAAUAUUAACUGAGUGGAAAACACCUUUUCUGUUAGGUGUUAUUCUCAAAUCUUUCAAUAAAUCCGUGAGGAAAAGGUUAAAGGUGACUGUUGUGGGGGGAGUGGUUCAGGUAACGGUGAUCGGCAAUCAUUAGGGAAAUAAACUUCUUUGCUUUCUUUCUGUUAAUGAGAUGUGUUGUGGACAAAAUCUAAAGUUUUAGACUAGCAUGGAAAUUAAGUCUUUGUCCUUUUAUGAUGAAGUCAUUUUUGGAUGCAGCCAUGAAGUAGAAGUUAUAUGUUUUCAAUUGAAUUUGGUUGAUUUGUCCUGCAGAAGCUGCAAUUAAAAUUAUAAUAUACCUAUUAUUUAUUAAGGACUCUGCAAUUGUCUUCAGGUUAUAGAAUCAGAUAUUACCAUCAGAAUGCGGCAUCCACUGGAUUAGCUUCUUUAUUUUAAAAAGGUAGUGUUAGGAAAAUUCAUACUCGUCACCGGUGUAAAAUCAUUAAACAGGGCUUUCAUUAACACAAUUUACCUCGGUGUGAAAGAGCACAGCACUUUCUGCCCUAAGUACUACUGACUAAGGUGAAACCUUAAUUAAUUAUUAGAAAGUAUUGCAGCUUUUCCAACAGUAAGUAUAGUAGUAACUAUAAAAUGCUUAGCCAGCCAUCUUAGUUCCCUGGCCUACUCUCGUAUUCAACCCUGUCUCUUUUCUUUCAUUUGUCUCUUUCUGGAUGUCCCUCCAGAUGAACAUGUCCAGAAUCAUUUACCUCCUGUUGAUUUUCUGAUGUCUGCGGCGCUCAAUACUCCAGGUAUUUCCAUUUUAAUUGACAAGUGUUACAGAUGCAUUCUGCGGUUAGCAUUGCUCAGAAAGUCUCAACAAUGAGCAAAUCAAUAACUCACAGAUCUGUUCACUUGUACAUUCAAUCAAACUGUCACAUGGAAUGGGUUCCUUUUAAGAUGGGGGUAAAAGUAUAGCCUUUGUGUGUGUGUGUCUGUCAUGCUUGCGCUUUGCUUUUACGUAGAGGCUUUCCGAAGAGGAUCAAAAGACAUAUGUGUGUCAAUUUUAUUCAUUUAAUCACUUUAAGUUUGUUCAUGCGUGAUGUUGGUGAGUCGAUGUGCUUAAAGCAGACAAGUUUAGCUCUUCAUGUGCAAGUGACCGGUUGGAUGUCUGCUUGUGGAUAUACGCAGUUUAUUCAUUUUCGCAAUGCAAUUGUUUGCAGUUGUUUGGAUGUCGGACGAUGCCAAUCACCAUCAGGCGCAGUCACAGGACUGAGGCCGAUGUCAAAGACUGUCUCUGCCGUAACCCUUCUCUUUUCCAACUAUGCGCCAUACCCGCCAACUUAUAGGAGCGCCCGUUUCACUUGUAGGGGGCAUAAAUUGCUUUUAAACAACAAACAACAAAAAACCUGUAUUAAAGUGUACAUUGAAUGGUGACCUCACGCUAUGCUAGCUAUUCAAAACCGAUAAACCCAGAACACAACAAUCCUGCCUUUCUAACUUUCCUACUCAAUAAAACUGCCUUUAUCCACAUGAUCAACAUCAGAAAGAUGCUAAAACUAAAGGUGUUCAUUUAAAAAUCGAACUGCUGCUGGAAUAAAAGACCUUCUGAGUCGUUCAGUAGAAUGAAUGAGCUUCCGAGUCCAUUAAAAACACUGUGUAGUUGGUGGCCUUCAAAAAAAGAUUGUUUUUAACUUGGCCCCUAUUAUCUUUUGUCUUGUGACCUCUAGUCUGAGGGAAGGCCAAUCACUGAACCAGCCUCCUAUUGAUCCUGUAUUUAUACCGUAUAUACACAGUUAUAUUAUGGUUUAACUGUAGAAGUAACCGAUUAAUUAAUCCAAUUCCAAAACCCAUCCCAGGGACUAGUACCGGGAAGAUUUUUCCAGAACUAAAGGAUAAAAACAAGCAGUAAUAAAAUCAAAUGAAAUCAAAUAUUAUAUACACGCGUGUUUAUAUUGUACCGGUUUUAGGGGUUUGUGGUCUUUAGUGUUUUUCAGUACAUUUGAACUAAGGAAGGACCUGCAGUACCUCUACUUCACACUGAAGCAGCUGGUGGCUGAAGGAGCUUUACAGAGCAGUCAGGUUGUCCUGCAUGGCGCGAGGGGGGUUUGCCCACCAGGGAUGAUAAUUUCACCCUCAUCCUCAUGUCUCCCAACACUUCAACCGUAUCCAGAGGACCCCAGCACACUGCGCCCGCAGAUCUACUGUUGAAUGGAAGGUGUGUUGAAGAUGAACACCCACCCCCACACUGUCCUGUGUCCACAUUUCAAAUGGCAAAUAUAAGCAUUUGUCUGUUUGGUGUGUGUGUGUCUCCACCAUUUUCAUCACUUCUUCCAUAACACAAUAAAACGGCAAGCAAAUACAUGAGCUGCAACUCAAUUGAAACUCUCAGCACACAUUUUCAUAUAUUUCCCCCCGCUGCCUUCUGAUUGUGUACUUACUCAAUAAGCGUUCUGCUGUCAUCACCUGUUAAAGUGGCAUCACUGGGUGUUGCGGAUACCUCCUUUCAUUUGAACUUGUCAUCAGUUAUUGAAUCAAACCUCCUGGACGGAUGCAAAUGCAGUGCUUUCUCCACAUCUUUCCUCAUAUCACUUUGGAAAAUGGGUUUCAUUUGAUUCCUAGUGAGUAAAUACGUUAAGGCUUUCAGCAUUAAGGCCACAGAUUUCACUCGCAACCAGGCACAGCAGGGCCAAGCAGUGAGCGUUUCAAUCCUUCUCAUCUAUAUUUGUCAUGCAAUUAAAACCGAUAUCACUAUUCACUAGACUGAUUCAACUAUACGUGCGUAUAGGUGUGUGACUACGUAAUGAAAGUGGGGUCAAUGUCAAAUACAUUUAACAUUUAUACCUCGACCCCAUUUCAUUUGUUUGGAUCCCCAUUAGCCGCUAAUCUUCCUGGGGUCGACAGACAAAAGCAAUGCAUAGAAAACAUUUAGAACAUGACGUGAAACAAACAUUUAAAAAUAGCACAAAUAGAAAAAAAUAAUAAUAACCCAUAAUAUAGUCAGAUACCUAGUGCAGUCGAGGAAUAAGAUGUAUAUUGAUUUGCAAGGAGAAAUGUUGACCCCAUUACAUUUUUUGUCAGCCAACGUUUCAUACAAAUGAAAAACAAUGCAUAAACCUAUUAAAUGUAAUCAGUGGCUCCCAAUCAUCUUAACUUUGACCCCAUACAAAACAAAACUAGUUUUUAUUUUAAGCAACGAGACAUUUUCACACUAAUUGUGUCUAAACAUUUUAGUAAUUUCUUUGUACCAGGAAGUAAAACCCUCCAAUAUUUGGAUAGUUACAGAAAAGCAUAUGUAUUUUGCUUAAAAAGGAAAACAAUGAACUCUCAAAGAAACCCAAAAUCUUAUUCUUGCAGCUUCUCUUGAGUUUAGCACAGGUAGUAGGCAUUCUUACAUUCAGCUGCAGUGCUCUUUGGGCUGGCCCGUUGUUUGGCUAGUUAAUCCGCCACUUACAUCCAAAAGGAAAUAUAUUGGAUUCAUUAGCACACACAUUUGUUAUGUAUUAGUUCUCUGGAGAUGAUUCCUAAUGUCUUUGGUUAUUCAUUUUUUUUCUAAUUUUAUUGUGAAAGGCACAGGGCAGUGCCAGGGACAAACAGCUAAUAGGGAAAAAGAAACAUUGACAAUAUUUCAUGACAAAUAAUUUCAAAUGGUGACUAAGGGCCACCUACAUUUCCAGCAUUAAACAGCAUUUAACACAAAGCUGUGCAGUUCCCUCUAGCUGCUAACAUGUACGUAACGUCACACACGUUCAUUUAUCUACUUCUGGGGCUUUACCGCUUUUGUCUAUAUUCUUCAAAAUGUACCACAAACAAACCAAGAACCUGACCUUUAUGUAACCUGUUAAAAAAUCUUUGACAUCUUCAAACUGUAUCAGAGCUGCCUUGGAUGUGGGAAACACAUGUGAUGUGAUCAAAAUGUUAAGCAGCCCCUCCCAGUCUCCUCGCAGCUCCUUGUGAUGGGUGAUUUAUCCCUCACCUCACCCUAACGAACCAAGACACUGAUUACAAGCACCCCUUCAAAGAAAAAAACGCCGGCCCUCCCAACCCAAUUUCCUCAUUCGCUGUCGAGUUGAGACCACAAAAGCGACUUCCUCUCUCUCUCCUCUCUGGCGAGCAUGCCGUCAAUAUUUAAUGGGAUGCAGCGCUGUAGAAGCUACAUGGAUGUUUAGAUUAACCAAGAGGUGCGAGGGGGCUGAUUAAGUGGGUGGCAGGUGCAUAUAAAUAAGACAUUUGGGGAUGAUAUAUCUUUUGAUUCAUGCAUAAUGUGAAGUGUUAAAACAAGUAGUGCAGAACAUGAUUAAGAAGGGUGCACUUAAAUUAUUACUUACGGCACUGGGAUUUUUUGUGAUAAUGUAAACAGGGCUGGAUAAAGGAAAAAUUACAGCCCGAUAGGCCCGAUUAACACUGUCUCAGAUAUAAGUUGGAGUAAAGAUAUUGGCUGGGUCAGCAGAAAAAAUAAACAAAUCAAUUGGAAUCAUAAGGAGGGUUAGAUAGCUUACCUCUGCAAACUGUCUCCUUGUUCUUUAUUACCUGUUUAAUUUUUCCUUAUCUUUCAUGUUGUAAUAUAGUUUGGGUCAGUACUUUUCCUACUUCUCUGGUGAUACUCCUGAAACGUUUUGUCAGGGUGGCGACACGAUCUCACUCUCACAUCUCAGCUGCUCCUUUAUUUCAGAAACAGCAGAUUCUUACUAUUUAUGACAUUAAUAUUUCUUUAACUUGCAUUUUUAUUUGUAAUAUACUUUUCGGUGAAGGAAAUAUUCCUGAUCGUCUCAAGUCCUACUUCGAAGUUAAUUCACAGUUUCCCUCAUACUCAACAAUCUUCAUCCUCCUAAAUUACUGGAAUCAGGAAUCAGGAAACAUUUAUUGCCAAAAUAUGUCAAAAUAUGUCAAACAUACAAGGAAUUUGUCUUGGCGGUUGGUGCAAGAGGUCAAUUUUCUAUUAGAUUUAGGGGAACCAAACUAAAAGAAUAUCCCUCUAUAAACAAUAUUAACAUUCCCAUUGCUUAUGAAUUACCAGUCUGUCUGCUACAGUGCUUAAGAGAAACCUGGGUUUUGUUUUAUUUUUCUCUUUUCACCUUCUCACCCAGAGCUUCAGAACUACCUUUUAAAAUUGCACCAUGUUUUUUCUUGCCAGCAGAUCAGAGCAGAGCAUUUUUUAGUGGUGGAGGAAUGGGUGGGUUACAGAGACAGGCAAUUUAACUGAUUUCUGCAGACAGAAGAUGAAUAUAUGUAUACUCAGUAGACAGUACAAGAACAAUGAUAUGUUAUGAUGUCAGAUAGAAACUCAUAAUAUAACACUGUGAAAAUGAACCUGAUAUGUCUCCUUUAAAAGAAUUGGGUAAGAAACACAAAAUCCGGUACUUUUCACCAUCUCAUUUUAGAAACUCAAAGCACAUUUACUUUUUACCUUUAUUUGUAAUGGUCUAAUAAUCUAAUAUAAGUAUAAGUAAGUAUAUAUUAACUAUAAUACUGCUUUUUCUUUUGCUUAUUAUUAUACUUGUAGCUCAGAUCAUUCUUUUCAAAGCAAAAUCUGUAACCCUGCAACACAUCCUCAGCUGGUAAUCUUUUCAAGAUUUCCCUUCCAAACGUCGGGAUAUAAAAGGGCCUGAUAAUCUCAUAGUGUGUUCCCAGCCUCAGAUGAAUAGAUGAGAUGGUCUGUGCGUCAGAUAAACGUUCCUGUAACAGAUAAAUAUGCAAUAUGUUUAUUAAUUUACAAAGUACAGGAAAAUGCUUCCACUCUUUUUUUCAUUGUUUCAUUGGAAGAAACAGACCAUGGACCCUAAAACAUUCAACAUUUCCAGGUUAGUGAAAGUAACAUUAGCCACAACGGGCAUCUACUUAUACUAUAUGUCUGUAGCAGCAAAACCCAUUAGCGUACCUAGCUGUGCAAAGGUGUGUUUUAGCGCUUCCAUAUUCAUUUUCUCAUUUGUAGGAGGAAUUCUGUGGUAUUUCUGCAAACUUCGAGCAAGUCUGUGUCUGCGUCUGACCCACCUCACACUCGGCUGUCACACUGUGGGGUAUAGCCGGUUUUGUUUUGUGUUUCCCUGCCUUUCCUGUCCCUGGAUUAACUUCACUUCCUGCCCCUGUGUGUUUUCUUUCCCUCCGUAAUUGUCCGCCUUGUCCCUGAUGUUUUUUCUCCUGUGUCCAAUCACCUUCCCCUUGUCAGUGUGGUUAAAUCAUGUGUGUCCCUUUUAAAUCCUUAAUUUACAAACAAUUUAAUAAACUGAUCGCAUUCUGUGUAGCAUUUAAAAUUUGGUGCAGAAUGACAGAUCUAGUAAUGUUACAAAUGAACUGUCCACAGUCAUCGUGGCGUAUUCCAUUGGUUUGUCGACCUCUGUUUUGAAGCCCAGAGUUUUGCCUUUGCCAUCUUGAAUUACUUUUGUUGCCACGAUAGUUUGUUCCACUCCAAAUGCUCCAUAACUUGAAGCAAGCGAUUCUCAUGUGUACAGUGUUUACAGAGGUAAUAAAUCAAGUAAGAAGUAUAGAGUCAAUGUAUUGUAGACUUCCAGAAAUUUCCUGAAAAAAGCAAGUUUUAAGAUACCAGGAGCCAAGCAACCCGUUCAAAAUGUACAUUGGCUCAGUUAAUCAAGCAAAGAUCAAAGAAAUGCAUGGUCACCUUGUAUUGCCCUGCAUUGGCAAUCAGAGAAAUAAUCAGAAAAUGAUGGACACAAAAUGUGACUGUGACGAUCCACGUUGAUCUGUUUUCUUUUCAGUGUUCUUAACCAUCAUGAUGUCUGGAAAACGCUGAUCAAAAGCAGAGCUCAAGCUCAACAAGUGGGCCAUGGGAAGAUUAGCUCUAUCAUCGAAAAAUAUAAAGUCAACUCUUGUUUGAAGCUACAGGCCAUGUGGGGCUGCCAAAGCGUUCGAUGUCCCUGUAAUGACUAUAACAGCCAAAAACAGUAAGGCUUGUAGGUUGGGUCAUUUUAAACAGCCUAGACUUUAGCACGUAACUAAGUCCGCGGGGAAAAAAGAAGUCAAGGAAACUUCCCAGAGGAAAGGCUGGAAUGAGUGAAAGAGGUACAAAUACAAUGCAGCAUAUGUUAUGUAUUCAAGGAGGAUGGCUGGUGAGACUUGUGUAGCAGAAAAUUAGUGUCACACAUUAGAAUGGACUUCCCCAAAUCUAUGCAAUAAAAAAAUGAAACUGGCCUUUCUUUUCUUCAGUGAUUAUCAAGCUUCACACAACUUGUCUAAUUCUCCCACUAUUUGCCAUUCCACAUCACCAUGCUGUAUCCUCAAAGUGAAUGUUUCAACAGACCACUUGACUGCUGUUACUACAGUGAAAUUGCACAAUUCCAUCCCAAGCACAUUGACUAAUGGCCUGUGAAUUACUGCUGCUUCUUUCUCAGCAGAAACCCGCCCAAAAAAAACCUCUUCUCUCGUUUCAGUAUUAGUCUCAUUUUGGUCAAAGGUAAUUCAACCUUUACUCGCAGAUCAUUGAACAACUUCUUUCUCGCUUGGGUAACAUUUAUUUUUGAUGAGCUUGCACUUAAGGCCGGCGCAUGCGUCUGCAUCGUUGCGUCGAUGCACUCGUUUCAAUUCAUGCUUCUAAAAAGUAUUGCGUGUGUUGCAGAGCAAUUCACCGCCAGAACAACAGGCGGAGUAACGUGUUUUUGUUGAAGACGACCUAGAGAGUCACGUCCAUUUAUUUAUUUGUUUAUUUAUUUAUCACAGACUUUAUUGCCCCGUGCAUCGCCAGUGUUGCAUUUCAUCGCGGACACAUAGGAUGUAGUUAGCGGACCAAUCGCAGCCUGGUGCGCUGCGGGAGGCUUGUGUUGCUUGCGUUACUUUCGACGCAAGCCUAGAAAAAUGGCUCGACACAUGCAAGGACGCAAGGAGGUGUGAAAAGCGACGCAAAGGACACGCAAGCCCCCCUUGCGUCUGCGUCGCUCUGAAAACGCAGAAGCAUAAAUCAGGCUUUAGUGCUGUGGUGCUCCUACUCGGCACACUUCUCAGAGGUAACCUGACAGUCCAAAACAAUGUUGAUUGGCAGAUGUUUUGGAUUGCUUUAACUGCAUUCCUUUUGAAUCUUAGCUCCUGGAUGUCUUCCUCAUCGCAAAAGUCUGUUUUUGGCAGUCAGUUAUCGUGUAUGUUAAAAAUAUGUCCCAAGUUAUUUUUUGUUUGGUCUUUUUUAGGAAAUUAGGAACAGUCACCAGACAAAAUAGAAGGUGUUGACUGUGUGCGUGACUGACUAUCUCAACAACCCCCCCAAGAAUGUCACCAUCUCCAAGACAAUCAAACUCAAUCUUUUUUUGAUGGCAGGAAUGUAUCCCUUGUUACCGUACCACAACCAAGUAAGGUAAUGGAAAAUAUCUCAGUCUUAUUGAAGACAUUUUUGGAGUGCGAUAUACAGCUGAAACAAUAUGUGCUUCGCCCCCUAUGGGGGCAUUCACGCACAAUGCACCUGGGCCUAAAUUCCUUGAUUAAUAAAAUAUGACUCAUUUCUUUUUUUUUUAAUGACAACUGUCACUGAUUAUUGGAAGAGGGUUAAUGAACAAUCCCUUUGUGAUAAAAAAAAUAAAGUGCAACCCAAGUCAAGAACCCUUCCAACUUUAAAUUCAUAACGGCUGACAUUUACACAGAAUAAUAAUACAGAAUAUAUCAUUAUCACAGUGUAUUCGGGGGAAAGAAAAUGAUCUGUACAUCUUUUCAACCUGGGCGACAUGCCUUGCAGGAUGUCACCAAAAAGACAACCCCGAAAACCCCCACCUCUGCUCUCCUCCCUCAAACUCCCUACCCUCUUACUUCUCUCUUCCUUAGCAGACCGGGGGGGGGGGAUGUGUUAUGUGUCCCCUAACCUGCUAUGUUUCAUUCUCUCACAUGGAUUUAUGAAUAUUGCGCUGCUUAGCAUAUCAAAAGACACUGAAGAAGAGCGAGAGAUAAAACAUGUUGGAAGCGCAUGGAGGAAGAAGAAGCAACAGAGCUUAUCAACACAGAGUGUCUGAGUGACAGUGGCACAGAUAAAUUCAUGGCGUGUUUAUCUGUGACUCAUCAGGGUCUUAAAUGUCUGCCACACAGGGCUCCUUUUGCGCUUCUGAGGGUCUCUGCGUUUAGG